AUUGAACGCUGGCGGCAGGCCUAACACAUGCAAGUCGAACGAGUGGCGGACGGGUGAGUAAUGUCUGGGAAACUGCCCGAUGGAGGGGGCUAACUACUGGAAACGGUAGCUAAUACCGCAUCCCAUCGGAUGGUCCCAGAUGGGAUUAGCUAGUAGGUGGGGUAAUGGCUCACCUAGGCGAAGAUCCCUAGCUGGGCUGAGAGGAUGAACAGGCAACAUGGGACUGGGCCACGGUCCAGACUCCCACGGGAGGCAGCAGGGGGGAAUAUUGGCAAAAUGGGGGAAGGCUGAUAGAGCCAAGCCGCGUGUAAGGAGGAGGCCUUCGGGUUGUAAAGUUCUUUCAACGGAGAGGCGGUACCCCGAGGAGAAACACCGGCUAACUCCGUGCCAGCAGCCGCGGUAAUUC
rnacentral:rRNA from 1 species